rnacentral:lncRNA from 10 species
GGCCGCUGCAGAGCUGUAGAAACCCAGUUGCACAGGGCUUUAUGCCUGGCAAGGGCACCCCUUGCUGUGUGCAUCCCAGAGGAGGCACGUCUGAAGUCUGCAGAGGAAGCUUCUAUCUUCCCUUCCAACGAAUUCCUGCUCAGGCCAGCAAGGAAGAGAGUUUGAGUUGUUUAUGGGACUCGUUUAUGGAACGCACACGCUGUGCCAGGCAUUGUGCACAGAGAGACCCAGUUCCUGCCCUCUUGGAGUUUAUAUGACAUGAGCUGAAGACAGACAAGAAGCAAGUGUAAGAGCUACCAGAGGGAGGAAAGUGGAAGCUACCAGACGGAGGAAGCAUAAACCAGGUUUUUGUUGAAAUGGCCAGGUCAUUUGUCCCCUAGAAUAUCCUGUGGUAUGGAUUUUGCAGAUUGCAUGCCCAUGCCAUCAUUUCUUCUGUUAGGAGGUGCCAUUGUAUGCAGAAUGUGACAUCUGAACAGAGGCUGGAAUGAAAGACAAGGGCGGGAGCCAUGCAGAAAUCUGAGACGGUUUCUGUUGGAGCGACAGGUCAUUUGUCACGUCUGGAUGUUGCUGCCUUCAUCUCUGCUCAGCUGAAUUCCCACUUUCCUUUGGGUAAUGUCUCCCUUGGUGACAUCUUGGUUCAAUUCUGGAACUUUUCAGACACUUUGAGUUACUAGAAAAAGCCCAUUCCAAGAAAUGAGACUUAGUGCUUUUGUAAACGUGUUUAAGUAUAAAAGACAUGUAGAAAAGUACACAGAUUACAAUUAUACAGGUCAAUGAAUUUGCAUGAAAUGAACACAUCUGUGCAAACUCAGAUCGAUAAAUUAAACAUGAUCACAAUCUUAGAAACCUUCCUCUAAUCAUCCCCUCACAAGCUACCUGCUGUCUUGACUUCUAACACCAUAGAUUUGUUUUGCUUCUCUCUGAACUUGGUAUGAAUGAAAUCAAAUAAUGUGUCAACCUAACUUCAUUGGCCAGCACCUUUGUCUCUUUGCCUCUUUGCCUAGGGGCUUCCUCUGAGGAUUGGAGCCCACUCUGCCACAGCUAGCAGCAGGCUGAAAUUAACCAGGGAAUUACCACCUUUCAAGACCAGGAGGCAAUC